AAAGUAUUUUACGGGCCAAUUACCCACGCGCCGCACGCGCCCGCCCAAACGCAGGGAAGCGGAGCCUCACCGCGCGCUUGCGAUUAGGGUUUUAUGCUGCUGGGUUCUACUGCCUGAGUGAUUUUACGUAAACUGUUAAUUUCCCUCCAAAUUUCGGUCUUUGUGGUUCGAGCUCUCUCCAUUUUUUUACCCUUGAGGAUCUCCCGACAUUCACUCUUUCACAUUUCAUGGUCGCUUUCAGGACUCUGGGUUUCUGUUUGUUCAAGUGAAAUUGGUUUCUCUUCAUUUCAGCUUAUGAUUAAACAAAAUUGAAGUUGAAGUAGCCUGUUUUGUUUCUUAUGCAACAUAGUCAUGUUGAUAUAUCUGCUACAUUCAACUAAUCGCUGCAUUUCUUAUUGGAGGAGGCCUGCUUUGGUAUUAUGGUAGAAACAGAGCAAGUGGAGAACGUUGAAUUUCAAUGGGGCAAAAAGAAAGGAAUUGGUGGGAAGAAAAAGGACGUGACCUUUUAUGAGUCUUUUACAUACGAUGGUGUAGAAUAUUUUCUCUACGACUCUGUCUACCUAUAUAAGGAAGGUGAACCAGAGCCUUACAUUGGUAAACUUCUUAAAAUCUGGCAGAAUCCUGAUAAGACAAAGAAAGUAAAAAUUCUUUGGUUUUUUCGAUCUUGUGAGAUUCUUAAUUAUCUUGGAGGUGUAGACACACGGGAGAAUGAAUUAUUUUUGGCAUCCGGCGAUGGUAUUGGUCUUGCCAAUGUUAAUUCUCUGGAAGUACUUGCUGGAAAGUGCAAUGUUCUCUGCAUUUCAAAUGACAGCAGAAAUCCGCAACCUUCGGAUGAAGCACUCAAAAAGGCCGAUUUUGUAUUUUGUCGUACAUUUGAUGUUGGAAAACAAGAGGUCUGCAGUGAGAUAUGUGAUAAAAUUGCUGGAGUGGAAGUUAAACUUUUACUUAAUAAAGCAGAUACGUCAAAAGAUGUUAAGAGGACCGAUAAGGAUGGGAAAGAUGCAAGUGGCAUUGCAAUUGUAAAGACUGAAUUAGAAGAUCCUUCUGGAAGGGACAUUUCUAAUGGAAAAUUGACUGUGACGACUAAUGACAGCUCUCUUGAGAAGGCCACAAAGGAAAAUGUUGAUUUGAAGGGGUCUAUAGAGAAAUCCUCCAAUGAGGAGAAGUCGAGUGCACAUGCAAUCGAAGCAGGAAUUGGAAUGGGUAAAACUAGUAGUAUUAGUAAACAUGAAAACAUCUUAGGUGAUAAGGUCCCUCCAAGGAUCAAAAUUGAUUCUAAUGAGAAGCCUGGUAACGCUAAGGAUGUCGAAGGUAGAGUCAAAAGUCCAAGGGAAUCUGCUGAAGUUGAACAUAGGCCAGUGAAGAAGGCAAAACUAGACAGCUCUGUUCAGUUAUCUCCUGGAAUGACCAAGAAUGACAUUGAAAAGCUUGGUAUCGAUCACAACAAUGGUGACACACUGGCUUCCUCACCUAAAGUUCUUGUUUCUGAAGAUGCUUCCAGAGCCAAAAAUGUAAAAGAUUCUCGUGAAACCAAGGAUAGUUUUUUAAAGAAGCCCAAGCUAGAUGAGAAGCCAACAAAGGUUUCUAAUGGCAAGAACCUAAAGCCCUCUUCCCUAAUAGACGGUGAAGUUGUGGAAGUUACUAGAAGGCCAGAUGCUGAUAGAAGCAGAUGGUUCAAGGGACUUCCGUGGGAAGAAAGAAUAAAAGAUGCACACGAGCAAGGAACACUUGUUCUAAUUCAGAAUUUGGAUCCAUCUUACACUUCCGGUGAAGUGGAGGAUAUUGUCUGGCAUGCCUUCAAUGAGAGUUGCACAGCUAAGAUGAUUCAGCGAACUGCAACUUCUAUGCCUCACAUAGGUCAAGCUUAUGUUGUAUUCAAAACCAAGGAAGCAGCAGAGAAAGUGGUCAGAAAAUUACAUGAAGGUUGCUUAUUACUUGCAGAUGGAAGUGUUCUUGUUGGUAGCUUUGAGACUCCUCAUCUUUCGUCAAAGAAACAAACAUUUUUUGGGCAUCACUGUAUCGAUAAGCUUAGACAUCAAAUGCAACGUGAGAUGAAAGAAGCUGUAUCAACUUCGCAUUGUUCUCAGCCAAAUACAAUAGAAUAUGACAUGGCCAUGGAAUGGUGUUUACUACAAGAAAGAUCAGAACUUGUCUGCAAACAGUUGUUCAAGCAACAAGAAGAGGAGUUGAGAAAACUCAAGAGCAAGCUCAAAUCUAGAUGAGCAUCAUUCUCCAAUAUUUUCAAUUGGGCGAGAAUCCUUUUGAUAUAGCAUAUUUUGAAUCAAGGGAGUGCCUUACUCUUGGAAGUACCAAAAAUGAUAGAAUUACUUCUCUUGCUUUUUGCACGUUGUCAAAUUGGAGUAAUCGGCAAUUGUACAUUGAACUGAGAUAUCGGUUGGAAAAGGUCCUAGCUUUUGGAGGAUCAGAUGAAACAUUUUGAGGAGCUUAAUGAGAUGAAAUUUCUGGGUAAACGGAGGCUUUUGAAUCAAUACAGCUGCAUGUGGCGACAUGGUUAGUUAUACCAAUACUUACUGGUGUCCCAUUAUGGGUGUUGAAUGUACAUGGAAUUUGCAUAUUUAUUCUAAACAUUGAACCAGGAAGUAUUUGAGUGGUUCACUAUUAUCCAUGGCGUUCUUCUCUGCCUCUGCUAAAAUCAGUUUUCAGUUUGGGUUUUGAUGACAACUUAUAUCUAUUAGUUUUGGUGCUCAAUUUAUUGUAGUUUUGUAGAGUAUAUGAUACAUCAGGUAAAGCUUCAGAGUUAUGCCACCAAAGUGUGGUAUUGGCAUAACCUCUGUCCCUAGAUGUCGAAGGUUCAAGUUGUACUAAAAAUAUCAUCUUUAGCGUUAUCUUGCUGUAGAAAAAUCACAUCUUUAGCUUA